GGAAGCGGGUUUAGAAGGUAUUCUAACCUGAGCGAGAGGGUGUUUGACCCUUGGACCGCCUUCGUUUGGCCUUGGAGGGCCUUCUGGAAGCUUAACGUGAGGAUUAAGACCUAGUGGGGCUGAUCCUUGGGACUCCUUUGGACUAUUUGGAGCCUAGUACUAGGUGGGUUUGACCUAACCAGAGCAAGUGAAGCUCCCCUAUGUUCUAUAUGUAACUAUAGAAUUGAUAUAGUCGUGUGUUCUUGUCACUA